rnacentral:rRNA from 1 species
GCUAGCUACAGGCUUAACACAUGCAAGUCGAGGGGUAGCAUGGUCUUAGCUUGCUAAGGCCGAUGGCGACCGGCGCACGGGUGAGUAACACGUAUCCAACCUGCCGUCUACUCUUGGACAGCCUUCUGAAAGGAAGAUUAAUACAAGAUGGCAUCAUGAGUCCGCAUGUUCACAUGAUUAAAGGUAUUCCGGUAGACGAUGGGGAUGCGUUCCAUUAGAUAGUAGGCGGGGUAACGGCCCACCUAGUCUUCGAUGGAUAGGGGUUCUGAGAGGAAGGUCCCCCACAUUGGAACUGAGACACGGUCCAAACUCCUACGGGAGGCAGCAGUGAGGAAUAUUGGUCAAUGGGCGAGAGCCUGAACCAGCCAAGUAGCGUGAAGGAUGACUGCCCUAUGGGUUGUAAACUUCUUUUAUAAAGGAAUAAAGUCGGGUAUGGAUACCCGUUUGCAUGUACUUUAUGAAUAAGGAUCGGCUAACUCCGUGCCAGCAGCCGCGGUAAUACGGAGGAUCCGAGCGUUAUCCGGAUUUAUUGGGUUUAAAGGGAGCGUAGAUGGAUGUUUAAGUCAGUUGUGAAAGUUUGCGGCUCAACCGUAAAAUUGCAGUUGAUACUGGAUAUCUUGAGUGCAGUUGAGGCAGGCGGAAUUCGUGGUGUAGCGGUGAAAUGCUUAGAUAUCACGAAGAACUCCGAUUGCGAAGGCAGCCUGCUAAGCUGCAACUGACAUUGAGGCUCGAAAGUGUGGGUAUCAAACAGGAUUAGAUACCCUGGUAGUCCACACGGUAAACGAUGAAUACUCGCUGUUUGCGAUAUACUGCAAGCGGCCAAGCGAAAGGGUUAAGUUUUCAACCGGGGGGAGUACGCCGGCAACGGUGAAUUUCAAAGGGAAUUGACGGGGGCCCGCACAAGCGGAGGAACAUGUGGUUUAAUUUAGAUGAUACGCGGGGACCUUUACCCGGGCUUAAAUUGCAGAUGAAUUACGGUGAAAGCCGUAAGCGGCAAGGCAUCUGUGAAGGUGCUGCAUGGUGGUCGUCAGCUCGUGCCGUGAGGUGUCGGCUUAAGGGCCAUAACGAGCGCAACCCUUGUUGUCAGUUACUAACAGGUUCCGCUGAGGACUCUGACAAGACUGCCAUCGUAAGGUGUGAGGAAGGUGGGGAUGACGUCAAAUCAGCACGGUCCUUACGUCCGGGGCUACACACGUGUUACAAUGGGGGGUACAGAGGGCCGGUACCACGCGAGUGGAUGCCAAUCCCCAAAACCUCUCUCAGUUCGGACUGGAGUCUGCAACCCGACUCCACGAAGCUGGAUUCGCUAGUAAUCGCGCAUCAGCCACGGCGCGGUGAAUACGUUCCCGGGCCUUGUACACACCGCCCGUCAAGCCAUGGGAGCCGGGGGUACAAAGAAGUGCGUAACCGCGAGGAGCGCCCUAGGGUAAAACU